CACUUAUGCCCUCCUCCUCCUCCUCCUCCUCCUCCCCAAUGCAUCACUCGACAGUCGACACUCCUCAUUUCUCCAUUUCCAGAGACGUAGAGAGAGAGAGAGAGUGAGAGAUGUCAGGGUGGGACGAGGGGGCAGUGUACUACAGCGACCAGGCUCACUCGUGGCGCGGCAGCGGUGAAGACCACGAUCCGGAGGUGGGGAGCCGACACUCCGUCCUCCAGAAGUUCAAGGAGUUCAUCCGUGGCUUUGAGACCGACGAGAAUGUUUUCCCCUACAGAGAAAGCCUCAUCCACAAUCCCAACAAGUCCCUUCUCGUUGACUUGGAAGACCGCGAUUCCUGCGACCCCGACCUCCAGGAUUUGCUCUGCUCCUCCCCCGCCGACUAGUUGCCUCUUUUUGAGACGGCAGCGUCGGAGGUUUUGGCGAGCUUGCGGUCGAAAGUGGCUGGAGAGACUGGAGAAAUGGAAGAUCCGGUGACCGGGAACGUUCAGGUCUUGCUGACGUCGAAGGAGGAUCCGGUCUCGAUGAGGUUUCUUGGGGCUCGAUCAAUAUAUAUCGAAACUUGUUAAAAUAGCUGGGAUCGCUAUAGCUGCAUCUAGGACUAAUGCAAAGGCGACAUAUGUGACUCUUAUCUGCAAGCACUGUAGAAAUUCAAAGCGAGUUUCUUGUCGGCCAGGCCUUGGUGGUGCAAUUGUCCCUCGCUCUUGUGAUCAUAUCCCUCAGCCGGGAGAAGAGCCAUGCCCACUUGAUCCAUGGCUUGUUGUUCCAGAUAAGAGCAAGUAUAUAUGUCGAUCAACAAACCUUGAAACUGCAGGAGAAUCCAGAGGAUGUUCCAACUGGGGAGCUUCCGAGGCAAUUGGAGUUUUGUACGGAAAAUUAAUGAAAUGAAAUAAUGAUUCAACUCAUUUAAUAGAUACAAACCUGGGUAUAUAAUAGAAACAUACAAAUUUAUUAUUUUUAUCAUUUUAUUUAAACAUACAAAUUUACAAUUCAAUAUAUGUGUGUUUAAAUAAAAUGAAAAAAAUGCUAAAUCACAUGUUGUGUAGUGUCGUGUAGGGAAUGUUGAUAAGUAGAAUUUUUCAUAAUAGAAAAGACUUGGACAUUAUAUAUAUAAUAGGAAACAAAAAAAAAACUUUAAUCAGGACUUUGAAGUACUGCCUGAUUUGGAUAGUGAGUUAAGAUAAAAUAAGAUAAAAGUUAAAUAAAAUAUUAUUAGAAUAUAAUUUUUUUAAUAUAAUUUUUGUGUUGAAUUUGAAAUGGUUGAAUUGUUUGUUGAAUUUUGUUUGAAAGUUUGAUAAAAUUGUAAUAAUUAGAUGAGAUAAGAUGAAUUGAAAUGAUUUUGAAAACAAAAGAGGUAAACUAUACAGUAUUGAUCUUCUAGUUUUUGGAAACUGCCUUCGAGCUCUGUUGGGAUGUAGUUCUUGUUCUGCUGGAAUUGGCAUGGAUGAAUGAAUGAUCACAAAAUAAUAGUAUUGGCAAUUCCAGGCUAUAUAUAAUCAUAUUUUCAUUCAAAAUACAUAAUUGCUCCUCCAUACACUUGAAACAAAUUUGAAAUCAAUCAUCUCCUAAAAGCACGCAUAAAAAUUCUGAUGUACAAGUUGGAUCCAAUGUUGUGAUCAUCAUCAUAAUGACGUUGUGGGUACAUGUCGGAUUCAAUGACGUUGCAAUCAUCAUCAUAAUCAAUACGACGCCUCUUAGAAAGUUGACUUCCAUGA